rnacentral:ncRNA from 1 species
GAAAACAGGGAAUGAAGUUCUCCCUUGGUAACAAUACCAGAACCGCUUAUAAGCUGAUGACUUCUGCAAUU